UACGGGGGAGCAAGCGUUGUUCGGAUUUACUGGCGUAAAGGGCGCGUAGGCGGUCGUGACAAGUCACUUGUGAAAUCUCCGGGCUUAACUCGGAACGGUCAAGUGAUACUGUCGGACUAGAGUGCAGAAGGGGCAACUGGAAUUCUCGGUGUAGCGGUGAAAUGCGUAGAUAUCGAGAGGAACACCGUGCGGCGAAAGCGGCGACCUGGACAGGUACUGACACUCAACUACGAAAGCGUGGGGAGCAAACAGG
rnacentral:rRNA from 1 species